CCUUUCUUGCGCUUCGAUGACUCUUUUGUCUCUCGAUCUUUUUGCGUCUCUUCAGGUUGGCCGGCAAGACCUGCGGAUCUCUCUGCCGCCUUGGCAGUGCGUUCGCCCACAGCAACGUCCACCGUGGCGCUGAGGCCGCCCGAGCUCCUGCGGCCAGUCGGUGCGCCGACCUGCUUUGGCUGUUGCUUUCUCUUCCCUUCCCCUUUUCCCUUUUUCGACGAUACCGACCCCUUAGACGCCGCACUGUCGCCGGCGUCUCGACUCACGAAGCUAGCUGCAGGCGUCCCAUCCGUUCCUGGCUCCCCGGCAGACUGUACGCCAGCACCGGCCCGCGACUUCGUGUCGAAAAAACCCUUCCUCUCCGCGUCUUCUUCCUUCUGCGGCGCCGGUUCCCUACCCUCGGUGUCCCCACGGGACGGCUCGCCACGCGCGCCUUCCUGACCCGAGGACAGCGGUUUCCUCUCUGGACGUGACGCCCCGCCUUUUGGCGAACGUCGUUCACCGGUCCCACCAGCUUUGGACUCCCCUGUCUGUAGGCCUGGCGGUGAGAGAGGGUGUGCCUCACCCUUUGUUCCUCUAGGCUUGGGGAACGAAGGACCAACUGUACCGUCCUCAGCCACCACAGUUUUUGCGGCAUCAGCGUAGGAGCGGGAAGGACGGUGUCCUGACGAUCCUGAAGCUUUGCCGAAGAAUAGGGUUUCGAUGGCUGUGGUGGACGGUUCUCUGACAGACCUCGAAUCGUCCUGUUGACGGCUGCGACUUCCGGUGCCGUGUGACGCGUCGCCAUCUGAAGACGCUGCAUGCGACGAACCAACUGCGCUGAGCCAGCCAGCCUGACUUCGGAAGAGAAGAUCAAACCAAGUUGUUCCUUCAGGACGUGGUGUCGGUUCGACCGACAGCGAAGAACCAGAAGCCGCGCUGUGGGUGGCCAUGGGCGCACCGCUCGCCUGUAGAGGAUCGCUUUGUCCACUUGGGGGAAAUGCCCGAUCCCCGCUGGAAUGAGAUGAAAAAGAUUCCGACAAAUACGAAACACCCGGUGGAGUCCCCUGCGGCACAGGAAAUCCCGACGGCAGCUGAAGCGCCUGCGGAAUAGAAGCCCCAGACGGCAUCCGAAAUCCUGGAUGGGGGGGUGAUAUGGGACUCGGCGGAGUGCUCGGAUCCACCAUAGCCCAGCCGCUCAAUCCCUGGGAGAAAACCUCGCUGCCAAUCGGUACAGGAAGAUGCGGAGGCGGCGCUGGAAGCGUUAUCUCCGGUUGACCGGCACGAUGCGUCGAGUACGGAAGCUUCGACAGUCCGGGCGGAGCACGUAUAGGCUUGGUCUGUGGGGGGGCGGCCUGCUCGACGCCUCCCCGGCCAGCUUCUUGUUGGGGCUGGGUAUGGGACGCGCCCACCGGACCGGCUGCCGACUCGGCUGCUGGUCCGGGUCCAAGCGAAGCAGGAGUACCGUCUGUGUCUCCCUCGCUCCCAUCCGAUCCGUGCGCUGUUUCCCCGUAGAAAAGGUCAGAGGGGGGCGCCGGCGGCGGCUCCUGCUCUCCACUGUCGCUGGAGGAUCCCCGCGCCCCAGCGGCCCGCUUGAGAUCUUCUCGACUGAGGCCUGCCUGAAAGGCCUGGAGGGCGGUCGACUGUUCUAGCAAAGAGGAACGGGCGCGGUCGACCCAUGCGCCAGCAUCCCGGCGUGGAAAACCACAGGGCAGAGACUCGUCGAAAUCCUUUAUCAUGUCACUUGCCACUUCCAGGAUUUUCAAAGCAUUGCCCAGUUUCUGUAAAGCCACGCCGACUUGCUCGGAAGUGACGGGCUGGUCGGCCCCUGCGCUCCCUCGGUCCCCCGAUGUCUCCCCGCUCUCCUUGCCAGUGUCCAAGAGACUCUCCACGACGCAGGCAGGAUCAAAGUCGCCGGCGUUUGUGACCUCUCCGUGAGCACCUGGCUGUUCGCCGGAGCCGGCUGCAGAACUGGUAUCUCGAGAAGCGAGGCGUCGGUAGCGACUUCCCUGCGCAACUGCUGGUCCCCCUCCGGUCCCGGAUCCGAGAAACGCAUUUGUCGAGCUGGUCAGGAACUCCCCUGUGCCCUUCACGGCGGGUGGCGAGCUCCGCGGCGGAAAACACCUCCGGACGGUCCGAAAAACCACGGCGGCGGACAUGAGGAGCGUUGCCAGCACAACCAGAGCGUGGAGAUGCAGAGGCCUGCGUCUGCUUACCCGACUGCGGUGCCUGUGUUCUCUUCGUCCUAGGCUGUCCUGCAGAGACGAUCCCGGUGCGAUAACUCUGUAUGUCGCCUCGGGAUCCUCCCUGCUGUGUACACUUUCAGGUGGAGUAGCCGUUCCCUGCUGCCUACGGUCAAGAGCGCUUCGAGAGACAGACGCCUGCAUCCAUUCAGCGGGGAGUUGAGUUGCCGGUGUUAUCGCAUUCUUGCCGAGGGACAGGCGUGCGUUCGCGUGUCUGGAGAAGCGCUGGCUCUUCUCAUCAAAGAGCGGCACGUCGGCGUCGGCAACUCUUCCUUCGCGACCCAGUGUUCGAUUGUCUACGCUUGUGGUGUCACCGGGAAGCCGCAAAAGAGCAGAGGGUGAAGAGCGAAGGUGGGAGGCGGUUCGCCCUUGUUUGGGCUCUUGCAGCUGGGAGGGCCGUUCGUCGUGGCUGGCGCCCGCAGCUGGCGGCAGGGACGCGACCGGAGGCGUUUCAUCGCGAACUUGUUCGCUGCCAUUCUGUUCUGACGGCUCCAUGACCCCUUUCUCCCUAACUACGGUGGCGCGGGUUACUGCAGUUGUGUCCGUAAGAGAAUUCCAAUGGGG
rnacentral:lncRNA from 1 species